CCGUAAACUCCUUCUUACACUGGAGAAAUAGUUUAGUAAAAGCAGCUACCAAAUCUUUAGUAGCAAAAACAUUGGUAAAAUAUACACAUUUUUUGUAAAUAUUACUAAAAUUGCGUAAAAAAGAUGUCAGACGCAAUGAAUGUUCCUACCAGGAAUUCGUAUAUUUUACUUCAUGCCAUUAGUAAGUUUGUUUUUAUUGUCAUACUUAACAACUGUGAUGCGCGCACUUUGUCUUUUGUCUUUUGGAGACGAAGCGAUUUGGAGUUGGCCUUAAAAUUAUAUGCAGUACAAUCAUUCAUCAUAAACAAAUCGGAGAUAAGUAUUCAUUUUUUUUUUUACAUCAUUACAUCAGUCACCUCGGUCGGGAAACUAUUUUCAUAUUCCCGCCAAGGAUAAACAUCAGUUAUAUUUUAUAUAUUACAACACUAUUGACCUUUUUCCUUGUCUUUACAGCUGGCAUGAUCCCAGACUCGUAAUACUUGUUUACCAAAAACCAUCCAAGCUAUGGGAUUGAAGGUAACGGCGAGUUUGUCGCUAAGAUUGGAAGCUUUCUUCAACACAUCAUCGACCGUAAAAAACCGUAAAAAAGGGGGACACGAGAGAACAAAAUACGGAUGAAACGUGCUAAUUCUACCGUCACUCUGCUAAUCAGCUAAUGCAAAUCAGAGCGAUGCAGCAGGAAGAGGAACGGGAACUUGCUUUGGAAAUGCUCAUCAAAUUGAGGUGUUGAGACUGCGAUUAAAAUUUGCCUCUUGUACGCAGUUUAUAGAAUGAUUCCAACGAGAAUUGUUGAUGUUGUUUAUAGAAUAAGUUGUAACCCGACACGCCUUCUAGGCGUGUGAGUCCUUCCUAACCGGGACUCUGCGCAGUCAAGCAGUUGGCUAAAGCGCCACUCCCGUAAGGGAGGCCAACCGCCGUGUUUUUGGUUGCCCGGCCAAUGAGAAUCGAACUCCCAGGGCGGGUUUUUC